UGGGGAAUCUUGCGCAAUGGGCGAAAGCCUGACGCAGCAACGCCGCGUGAGUGAAGAAGGCCUUCGGGUCGUAAAGCUCUGUCAGAAGGGAAGAAAACCCGCAUUGUCGGGCGUGACGGUACCUUCAAAGGAAGCACCGGCUAACUCCGUGCCAGCAGCCGCGGUAAUACGGAGGGUGCAAGCGUUGUUCGGAAUCAUUGGGUGUAAAGCGCGCGCAGGCGGCCUUUUAAGUCUGAUGUGAAAGCCCGGGGCUCAACCCCGGAGGUGCAUUGGAAACUGGAAGGCUUGAGUCCGAGAGAGGUUAGUGGAAUUCGUGGUGUAGGGGUGAAAUCCGUAGAUAUCACGAGGAACACCAGUGGCGAAGGCGACUGACUGGACCGGAACUGACGCUGAGGCGCGAAAGCGUGGGUAGCAAACA
rnacentral:rRNA from 1 species